rnacentral:rRNA from 1 species
UACGAAGGGUGCAAGCGUUACUCGGAAUUACCGGGCGUAAAGCGUGCGUAGGUGGUUUGUUAAGUCUGCUGUGAAAGCCCCGGGCUCAACCUGGGAAUGGCAGUGGAUACUGGCAAGCUAGAGUGCGGUAGAGGGGUGUGGAAUUCCCGGUGUAGCGGUGAAAUGUGUAGAGAUCGGGAGGAACACCAGUGGCGAAGGCGGCACCCUGGACCAGCACUGACACUGAGGCACGAAAGCGUGGGGAGCAAACAGG